AGUUGUAGCUCAGUGGUAGAACAUCUGCUUUGAAACCAGAAGGUCCCUGUUUUAAUCCAGGUAGGGCUG